rnacentral:rRNA from 1 species
UGGGUAACCUGCCUCAAAGAGGGGAAUAGCCUCCCGAAAGGGAGAUUAAUACCGCAUAAUAUGUUUAGGUCGCAUGACUUUAACAUCAAAGGAUUUUCUUUUAAGAAAUUCCACUUUGAGAUGGACCCGCGGCGCAUUAGCUAGUUGGUGAGGUAACGGCUCACCAAGGCAACGAUGCGUAGCCGACCUGAGAGGGUNAUCGGCCACAUUGGAACUGAGACACGGUCCAGACUCCGUAGGAGG